GGUGCUCUGAGUGAUCUGGCCGCGACAUCUGUCACCCCAUUGAUCUCCAGGGUUGAUUCGGCUGAUCUCGUGUCCCCUUCCUCCCUCACCACUCCAUGUGCUUCCCUCCCGAAGCUGUGCGCUCAAAGAGGACGACCUUCCCGGAAUAGAGGAGGACCGGUCUUCGGUCAAGGGGAGACAAGUAGCUGCGCUCCCCUGCUAGAACCUCCAAACAGGCUCCCAAUUAAAUAAAAUAUUUUUUAAAAAAUUCCCACUAGAAAUUAGCCUGGUCUCCCAACUUUUGUAAAAAUAAAUAAAUAAGUAAAAGUAGAGCUGGGAAAAUGGCUCAGUAGGUAGGAGGGCUUCCUGC
rnacentral:snRNA from 1 species